UACGGGGGGGGCAAGCGUUGUUCGGAAUUACUGGGCGUAAAGCGUGCGCAGGCGGUUGUGCAAGACAGAUGUGAAAUCCCCGGGCUUAACCUGGGAACUGCAUUUGUGACUGCACGGCUAGAGUGUGUCAGAGGGGGGUAGAAUUCCACGUGUAGCAGUGAAAUGCGUAGAUAUGUGGAGGAAUACCGAUGGCGAAGGCAGCCCCCUGGGAUAACACUGACGCUCAUGCACGAAAGCGUGGGGAGCAAACAGG
rnacentral:rRNA from 1 species